CAAGGAUGAAGAUACAAGUUCUUGUACAGUUGGUACCUGAUGGGGAUGUGUGCAGUGGCUGUUGUGUUGCACAGGAGUUUGUCACAGCAUUGGUCCUCUUGAGUUUCAGCCACUUAGACAGAGGCCCUUUUGUAGAGUAUCUCCAGACAGAAGAAUUCAGAUGAUGAUUGUCCAAACCAAGGACUUGUGUCACGAUACGUAUUCCCUGGAGCAGUAUCACAGUUUGACCCGGUGUCUCUUUCAGCUCCCUGUCUCGACUGACUGUAAGAUACCGGCUUUCUUGUUGUUCCCUGCAGUUACAAUUAACUUCAAACAGUGUCUUAUCAUUAAAUCAACCUACAUUGAACCAGGCAGCUGCCUUAAAGAGAGACUGCUCUUACUUUUUCUGCACUUACUCAGCUGCUGCAUUGCUGCUUCUGCGAGAGAAAUAAGAGGGAGGGAAAAGCUACCUGCUGAAGCAAGUGCCUUGCUGCUUGCCAUGCCCAGAGCUUGAGUUCCUUUGGCUUUAAAUGACAUCUGAGUGUGUUACUGUCCCCUGAAAUGACAGAAGAGCUCAGCUUGUUGCUACCUUGAGAUCUAACAGAGCUUCUACAUUUUGUAGCCUGUGGACCUGAGGCAGCUCUGCUGGGUAUCUGAGAUCAGAAAAUAGGAGCUGGCUCUUUCUCAGGUUUGGUUUACAGCUCUGGCAAAAUACCUGUACCUCUUCUCUGGGGUGUUUAUUCCCAUUGCCAGGUACAAUUGUAACAUUCAUAAGGUGAGUCAGACCAACAUAAUGAAGAUUGCAUCUUGUUUGUGCUCACACACACACCCCUGCCCACCCCUCCAGCGAUGUGCUGAGCUGUAAAGAAGUUGCUUUGAGAAUCAGAGCAGCCCCUUUGCUCAGCUGGAGUUACUGAGCAUCAUCUCCCUCAUGAGCUUCCAGAGGUUUAUAAUCUGA